rnacentral:rRNA from 1 species
UUGCAGGCUGCUCCGUCGACCUCGGUGGUUCCUGUGUCCCGACCACAUACACGCAGUCGCAGUGGCAUUUUCAAACCUAAGGAACGUAAGGAUGGUACGGUUGCUUGGUUGGCUGCUUGUUUGGCUGCUGCUGUUGCGGAUCCAUCUUCUGAGCCUCGCUCAUAUCAGGCUGCCCUAUGCAUUCCACAUUGGCGAGAGGCUAUGGAGCAGGAGUUUCAUGUUCUCCUUCGUAACAAGACAUGGACUCUCGUUCCUCCACCACCACGGGUAAAUAUUAUUGACUCAAAAUGGGUAUUCAAAGUGAAGAAGCAUUCGGAUGGAUCUAUUGAGCGUUACAAAGCGCGACUUGUUGCUCGCGGUUUUUGGCAGCGCCAUGGUCUUGACUAUGAGGACACCUUCAGUCCUGUCGUCAAGCCUACCACUAUUCCGCUUCUUCUCUCCAUUGCUGUUUCUCGUGGUUGGUCACUUCGUCAACUUGAUGUGCAGAAUGCUUUUCUACAUGGUUUUUUGGAGGAAGAGGUUUAUAUGAAACAGCCGCCUGGUUUCUCUGAUCCUGAUCGUCCUGACUAUAUCUGUCGUCUCUCCAAAGCACUAUAUGGUUUGAAGCAAGCUCCUCGUGCCUGGCAUGCCCGCCUUGCCUCUGCCCUUCGUGCUCAUGGGUUUGUGCCGUCCACUGCUGACACUUCAUUAUUUCUUCUACAGAAGCCAGAAGUCACUAUGUAUCUUUUGGUAUAUGUCGAUGAU